GACCGCCGCCUGCUGCCACGAUCGCCCUCCGUUGCUCCGCAGAGUCCGCCGCGCGCCGCCGCCGGCGGCCGGCCUGCCUACGUAGGUCACGGGAGGCUGGUCACUCCCUUGCUCAUCAUCCUCAUCCCUCAUCCUCAACUGGCGAACUCUGAAACUAGGGAAGAAGGAAGAUAAUGGAGAAGUACGUAUUUGAUAAAGAAAUAAAGAGAUGGUAACGCCACCACUCGUUGCCGUUGUCACUGUUGAGAAAUGUUUUUCAGCUAUGAAGAUUGUGAAAAAUGCUUCGCGUAACAAAAUUGGUGAUUGUUAUUUGAGUCGCAGCCUAAUUUGCCUUGUCGAAAAGGAAUUGCUAGAUACAAUUACCAAUGAAGUGAUUGUUGAUUGUUUCCAUAAAAUGAAAGAUCAUCGCGUGGAAAUGUAGCGGCAUUUACGUUAGAGACAAAUAUUCUCUUUUUCAAUCUAUGUACUAUUGAUAUAUAAACUCUUUUUAUAAGGUAUGUUCACUUUAGUGAUAAACUCGCCAUGACUCUGUUGGAUGAAGUAUUUUUUUUAGAACUUGGUUGAAGUAUCUUAUGACUUAUUGGAAACUGCUACUCCCUUAGAUCCAUAUUGAUUGUGGCUCACUCGACAAUUAAUAUGGAUCGAAGAAAGCAUUUGUGUACAACAUAAUGUGAGGUUUAUAAGCCUUCUUGAGUUUUCUU